GACGAACGCUGGCGGCGUGCCUAAUACAUGCAAGUAGAACGCUGAAGAGAGGAGCUUGCUCUUCUUGGAUGAGUUGCGAACGGGUGAGUAACGCGUAGGUAACCUGCCUUGUAGCGGGGGAUAACUAUUGGAAACGAUAGCUAAUACCGCAUAACAAUGGAUGACACAUGUCAUUUAUUUGAAAGGGGCAAUUGCUCCACUACAAGAUGGACCUGCGUUGUAUUAGCUAGUAGGUGAGGUAACGGCUCACCUAGGCGACGAUACAUAGCCGACCUGAGAGGGUGAUCGGCCACACUGGGACUGAGACACGGCCCAGACUCCUACGGGAGGCAGCAGUAGGGAAUCUUCGGCAAUGGGGGCAACCCUGACCGAGCAACGCCGCGUGAGUGAAGAAGGUUUUCGGAUCGUAAAGCUCUGUUGUAAGUCAAGAACGAGUGUGAGAGUGGAAAGUUCACACUGUGACGGUAGC
rnacentral:rRNA from 2 species